rnacentral:rRNA from 1 species
ACUCCAGACUCCUACGGGAGGCAGCAGUGGGGAAUAUUGCGCAAUGGGCGAAAGCCUGAUGCAGCAACGCCGCGUGAAGGAAGAAGGGUUUCGGCCCGUAAACUUCUAUCAACAGGGACGAAAGAAAUGACGGUACCUGAAUAAGAAGCCCCGGCUAACUACGUGCCAGCAGCCGCGGUAAUACGUAUGGGGCAAGCGUUAUCCGGAUUUACUGGGUGUAAAGGGAGCGCAGGCGGCGCGGCAAGUCAGAUGUGAAAGCCCGGGGCUCAACCCCGGGACUGCAUUUGAAACUGCCGUGCUGGAGUGUCGGAGAGGCAAGUGGAAUUCCUGGUGUAGCGGUGAAAUGCGUAGAUAUUAGGAGGAACACCAGUGGCGAAGGCGGCUUGCUGGACGAUAACUGACGCUGAGGCUCGAAAGCGUGGGGAGCAAACAGGAUUAGAUACCCUAGUA